AUGAAUGGAGGCGGUUGGUGUGUUCACUGGGCUCAAAGUACAUGACUGCUGGAGAUGAUGCUGCUUUUGGAAUGAUAGGUUGGGCUGAGAGUUUCAUGCAAUCAUUGUUUCCCAGGUGGUUGUAGCUAACAGAUAAUUUGGCACCCACCAGCCAAUCAAUUUCAUCACAAUCAGAAACCAUCUUUUUCCAUAAAGUGCUUAUAACGAUCAAAACUAUAUAUAUACCUGAUUCCAGCCCUUACAAGAAAAUAAACCAUAACAGACUUCAUCUUUGUCUUGCCAAUCUUCAAUUCUUCAUCUCUUCUACUGUUGCUCCGAAUGGCGAAAACAAUAAGCGCUGCAAACAAAAACGAAGUUAAACAAAAGAAAGGCACAAUCUUUUGCUUGUCUAAAAAACUUCAACCGAACAACAAAGCAAAGAGCAAGGUUAUCAAAUUUAAGAACCUAAAAUCUCAGCCUCCUUAAUUUUCUCCAAAGAAGCAAGAAGGUUCACCAUUGUACCUUCUCCAUCAUAAGAUCCAACUCUAUUUAAUGAUUCUUUAGUGAGCCAAAAAAUUGGCUUGUUGCACUUUGUCCUUUGUGGCACAGGAGAUUCAUCUGAGAACAAAAAUUAAAUCAAUAAAGUGACUCGCACUUGAUUAAGAUUUAAUCAAAAAAUUUAAUAAGAAACUCUUGAUUGCUAUGAAGCCAACAGUGAGAGUUCACUGUUCCUACGCCACCCCACAGGCAUACUCUAAAAAUAAGCCAAAAAAAAAAAUCCGAAGAAAUUCUGAUUUCCAAAUUGACCGACCAAAGUUAAAAAAUGAAAAGAAUAAGAAUCUACAGAGCAGUACAAACCAAUUCAAUUUAAGAUGAACAAUCUACAGAACCAUGAGAUUUGUGGAAUCAUUUGAAUCCUCUUCAACACUAUCCUACCGACUUUAUUUCAGACGACAAUCAGAACAUGCUUUAACAUUCCUAAAUCUAACUUUCGAGCCAAUAAGGUUGACUAAUAAUUCAGAAUAUGGAUAAUAUAGAAACUUGAAUAGAACUCCUCCCAUAUCAUUCAAUCCUGUCUCAGGUAUGUAGUAUUCCCAAUAGCACAGAGUGUAACUAAUUAAAGGUAAUUGCUGGCUUGCUGUAUCCUCUUUGGCCUAACCUUUCUUGUUUUAUAGAAAAAUUAUAUGAAUUUUGAAUCUAGACAAACUUGCCUCUAAAUAUUCUACUUUGAGUGCAGACGAUGUUUUAUCUUAGUAUUUGCAGCAAAACUUAAAUAAUUUAAGGUCAAGUAGUUGCUUUGAUUAAAGAUUAAAAUAUGGUCAAAGCGAUAGGUAAGUCAAAAGUGAAAUUAAAAAAGAUUAAAAAGUGUUGCAUAUACUUGACCAAAUAAUAUAUGUGAUACAGAAUUAGAUGCAAUAUAUUUUCUACAUACAAAUAAGAAAAAAGAAGAAAGAAAAGAAAUUAACUGAGAUUGAUGGGAACCACAGCCAUUUUCUUGUGAUGAAUAUAUUACAGAUGAAAAUUUCUGCUUAUACCAGCAGAAGUGUUGCAAAAACUGAUAGCGGUAAAGUCAUGAAAUAUUAAUAUGAAUAUACCAUUAAUUUCUCCAAAAUGAAUUUUACUUGCAUCGUACUAGUUAUAGAGGAAAUCCUAAAGUACUUAUCCACUGAAAAAGAAAUAAUCGGUGUGAUUAUAGGAUUCAAACAAUUAAAUUCAUCAAGUAAAAAAGUUAAAGAAGAGAAGAAAAUACCUGUCAGUCAAUGGUAAUUAAUUGCUGCUGUUACUGAAUUCAAUGACGGUCUAUUUGGACAUAGCGACUAUCAAUUAUGACGGUAGGAAUGCAAGAGAUCUUUGACCGAUCAUCCCCUGCAGCCUCUUUGAAACUUUUUUCUAAAAUAGGACAAUCAUUAAUCUCCAAUUUCUUCAGUGUUGUGCUCCGAAGAACUUGGUCAGGCAACAUUUUCAAUUUGCUACAAUCUCUAAUAGCCAAAGAAUUUAGUUGAGGCAUGAUUGUAAUAUUUUCUUCUAUAAACUCCCAUUCUUCCCAUCCAUCUAAACUCCAAAGUGUGAAUUUCUUCAGUCUAGGAAAGGCAAUAACUGAAGAUGAAGAUGAAGAUGAAGAUGGAGAUGGAGAUAGAGAUGGAGAUGUGCCAUGCAUAUGAUCACUUUCUAUCCCCAAAACUUCAUCGCCCACUCUUUUUAUACCAUGCAUUUCCCAUAUAUCAAGAACUUCAAGGGAUUGCAAUUUUCCUAAAGGAGGCAUAAUCUCACACUUUUUGCAGAAUGAGAGACAUAACAUCCUCAGCUUGUUUAAUGACAGUAUCCAGUUGGGGAACCUAGCCUUGACUUCAUAGAAAGAUAUUUGUAAUGACUCUAGAUUUGGAUGCGGUCUUAAGGCUUCAAUAAUUGCUUGAUGGUUUACUUCGUCUUCAUCUUCUUCCUCUUCCUUGUCAAAUUCUAAUUCCAAAGAAAUGAGGUUCUUCUUUUUCUCAAGCUCUGCAUUUUUGGCCCCAUCAACAUCUGUCACAUUCCCUAACCCUCGAAUCUUAAGAGACCCUCGGAGAUGAUUCAUGUGUCUCAAACCAUCAAGAUUACAUGCUUUACUACCAUAUUUGCCACCACCACUCACAGCAACAAACUCACUUAAUGUCCUAAGACCCGUUAAACUCCCCAUUCCUUUUGGCAUGUACUCUAAAUCAUCCUCAUCAAAUAUUAAAUGCCUCAAAUUAACUAACUUUCCUAUGUUUUGAGGUAAUCUUUUAAACUUGCUGCAUCUUCUGAGGUCUAAGUUUUGCAAAUUAAAUAACUCGCAGCAUGUCUCAGGCAAUUCUUCUAUUCCUACAAAAAACAAUUUCAGGUAUCUUAAAUGUAUCAACUUUUCAAUCCCAUUUGGUAUUCUCUCAAUUGCAUCAUCCCCAUACUUCCCAAUUCUUAAUGCCCUUAAGCAAGUCAGUUGAUCAAAAAAACUUGGCAUGUGCUGCAGUGAAUAGCCUUGAAUUAAAAGGCUACGUAACUUUUUGGCAUUAAAUAUUGAAACAGGAAAUGAAGCAUUGUAGUGAAGCACCAAAAUUGAAUGACGGAGUUUCUCAUAACAAAUAUUUCUCAACAACGGCGGCUCGCCAACACUGCCAACUUCCAUUGCAGCACAUUCCACUUUAGUGAGAAGUUGUGCAAAACCAUGCACUAUAUCAUGCAUUUUAUAUCUUUUAACAUUACCUUCUUCAUCUUUCUCAAACUCCUGGAAGAAAGAUCUCUUGGCUAACAAGUCAAAAUACCUUUCACCAACCAUCUCCAUCUCCAUCUCCAUCUCUUUAUUACCUUUCUGAUCAAUAUAACCUUGAGCCAUCCAUAAUUUAAUCAAUUCAUCCCUGUCCACAUAGCAUUCUUUUGGCAAUACGGCACAGUAGGAGAAACAUCGUUUAAUCUCAUUGGGCAAAUCGUUAUAACUCAAUAGGAGAGCAGGUAAAAGAUUUUUUUCAAACUCUUCUACCUGCCAAAUCUCACUAUCUAAGAUACUUUGCCACUCUUCUCUAGCUUUUUUAAACCGCAACAGACUCCCGAUGGUUUUAACCGCAAGUGGCAAGCCUUUGCACUUCCAUGUAAUCUUUCUACCAAUUUCUUCUAAUUGUUUGCAAUCUGAACGAGAUCUAUUGAGAAAAGCAAAUCGCUUAAAUAGCGACCAACAUUCUGUUGGGGAAAAAUUAGGUUUUUAAAAUUUUUAUAAAACCUUUUGAAGAUCGCUCUCAUAUAAUAUAUAAGAAUUCGUAUUCUAGAAAUCGUACCUUGAAAAUCCGAGUUGGCUUUUUCCGCUGAAGUGAUUUAGGCUCCUAGAUCACGAUCUGCCACCACCACUCCUGUUAGAUCACGAUCCGUCGCCACCACGCUUGCUAGAUCACGAACUGUCACCAAUGAUCUUCCAGGUUAUGACUCAGGUUCGAUCUGCACUUGACGUGUGGGCGCCUUUAUCACUACCAAAGCAACUAGCACGAGAAAAUUUUUCUCUCAAUAAAUAGAGAGAAAAAUCUUUUUCUCUGAUCUGUAUAAAGUGGCUUCUUUCUAAAUUCACACUCGUCACUAAUAUCAAUAUAUAAAGUGGGUGUAACAUAACUCAAAACUAAAGAUAAUACAAAUACUAAAAUUUAGAGAUAAUGCAAAUACUAAAAUUUAGAAAUUAUCAUGUCAUCCAAUAUCAAAAUAUCACAUAAAAUGCCUUAAAUUUUAUUAUUUUUAUUUUUAUUAUUUUUUAACUAAACUGCAAGACUAGGAAGAUGUGUUUCUAGAGUAACUAAACUCUAUAUUUGGCCAUCUUCAACUCAAAAAUUUAGAAAAGGUUAUUCCACAAGUACAAGAAAACAACUAUCAGUUAUUCUGCAACUAUCAACUAUUAUCUCUCCCCAACUAGAAUGAGACAUUGUCCUCAAUAUCUAAAAAGAAAAAAUGUAGAUUUUAGAAGAUAUCACCUGAAUGCUGCAACAUAAGAAAAUAUGUACAAAUGGAAGGUUAAAUCUAAUUUGCACCUCUUAAUACUACUACUGCUAUCAUCAUUAGUUGACCAAUCCAACGCAAAGGUCCUAAGAUCUGAUUCUAGUAUGUAAGUUUGUAAAAGAUCUAGUAACUUGUUAGUAGUAGAAGCAUAAAUAAAGAGCUGCUGUACCGUACAUCCGCCUUGGCCGUACAGCAGUGAGAUUUAAUAAGUCUGACAGUUAUUACAAAGUUAAUUAAAUCUCGUAUGUGAUCUUGUUCAAUGUAGUUGUACUACAUCAAUAAAUUCAUACAUGAUUAAGACAAAUCAUUCAAUGAAUUUAUUAUAGUCUAUACCUAAAUAAAGUGCCCAACUUUAUUUAUCAACUGUGAACUAAAUUUAUUUAAUCAUAAGAUAACUUGUAUUUAUGUCUUCUGUGAAUCCACAUGGUGAUCACAUAAAUACAUAUAAUAUGAUCUGCUGUACGGCCAAGGCGGUAUUAAUGCAAUUAAGAUAUUUGAAUAAAAUACCUCAUUUAUUUUAUUAAUCAGAAAAAUUGUUUAUUACAAUUAAAUAAACACAUAUGCUUUUAAAGAGCAUAUUUUCCCAACAAUCUCCCACUAGCUCUCAAAGCAUAUCUGGCAUAUUGCACAUGCUCUAGGACUCUAAGUGCAGGUUAUAAAGGUUUCCCACUAAUGGCCAUUGUAAUAAGAUCUGCCAUUUAGCAUCUAAUGCCAUUUGGGGUACUGUCAUAUAACCUUUCUACACUAUUCCCUUAUAAGAUGAUACUUCCUUUCAAUAUGUUUUGUUUCUUGUGGUUCCUUGGUUCCUUAGAUUGAGCUACCGCACCACCAUUAUCACAUAAAUAGUUUAAGGGGUGCAGUUACAACAGGUACCACCUCAAGAUUUCUUAGGAACUUGCGAAGCCAUAUAGCUUCUUUUGCAGCUUCAGAUGUAGCCACAUAUUCAGCUUUAGUUGCUGAGUCUGUGAUACAAGAUUGUUUCACACUGAUCCAACUAAUAGCUCCACUUCCCAAUGUAAACACAUAGCCGGAAGUUGAUUUUCUGCCUUGGCCGUACAGCAGUAGUUCUUUUCAGAUACUUUAUAAUAUGCUUGACUGCAGUCCAGUAUUGAGGUCCAGGAUUAAAUUGAUAUCUGCUAACCAUCCCUACCGCAAAACAGAUGUCUAGCCUAGUGCAAAGCAUGGCAUACACGAGACUUCCCACAGCACCUGGCAGUAUUCCACUCAUCCAAUACAUCUUCAGUGUCGUAGGAUGCGUGUUUGAGCUUGUCUAAAGAAAUUUCAGAAAUAUGUUUUCACUACAACUGUUAGAUGCAUGAAUAAAACAGAGGACGAUACAACAUCAGAUUUGACCACUGAUUGAAUUGCUGUUCAUAUGACUGCAGUUAAAAAAAAAAAAAAACAUCGAUGAAUACCAAAACACAAGUCACUGUCGUUAAUAUUUCUCUUAUUAACGCAGGUGAGAUUACCUUGAUGAAUGGAGGCGGUUGGUGUGUUCACUGGGCUCAAAGUACAUGACUGCUGGAGAUGAUGCUGCUUUUGGAAUGAUAGGUUGGGCUGAGAGUUUCAUGCAAUCAUUGUUUCCCAGGUGGUUGUAGCUAACAGAUAAUUUGGCACCCACCAGCCAAUCAAUUUCAUCACAAUCAGAAACCAUCUUUUUCCAUAAAGUGCUUAUAACGAUCAAAACUAUAUAUAUACCUGAUUCCAGCCCUUACAAGAAAAUAAACCAUAACAGACUUCAUCUUUGUCUUGCCAAUCUUCAAUUCUUCAUCUCUUCUACUGUUGCUCCGAAUGGCGAAAACAAUAAGCGCUGCAAACAAAAACGAAGUUAAACAAAAGAAAGGCACAAUCUUUUGCUUGUCUAAAAAACUUCAACCGAACAACAAAGCAAAGAGCAAGGUUAUCAAAUUUAAGAACCUAAAAUCUCAGCCUCCUUAAUUUUCUCCAAAGAAGCAAGAAGGUUCACCAUUGUACCUUCUCCAUCAUAAGAUCCAACUCUAUUUAAUGAUUCUUUAGUGAGCCAAAAAAUUGGCUUGUUGCACUUUGUCCUUUGUGGCACAGGAGAUUCAUCUGAGAACAAAAAUUAAAUCAAUAAAGUGACUCGCACUUGAUUAAGAUUUAAUCAAAAAAUUUAAUAAGAAACUCUUGAUUGCUAUGAAGCCAACAGUGAGAGUUCACUGUUCCUACGCCACCCCACAGGCAUACUCUAAAAAUAAGCCAAAAAAAAAAAUCCGAAGAAAUUCUGAUUUCCAAAUUGACCGACCAAAGUUAAAAAAUGAAAAGAAUAAGAAUCUACAGAGCCUGCUGUACGGCCAAGGCGGAUGUACGGUACAGCAGUUUUAUUUAGUUUCUAUCCGACAUUUACUGUGAUAGGCAAUGAAAUUGGUGCAAAUAAAUUACGGACCAACAUUGUUUAAUCUCAUUGGACAGAUCGUUAUAACUCAAUAGUACAGCAGGUAAAAUAUCUUUUUCAAAAUCUUCCACCUGCCAAAUUUCACUAUCUAAGAUAUUUUGCCACUCUUCUCUAGUUUUUUUAACCACAACAAACCCCAGAUAGUUUUAGCCGCAAGUGGCAACAUUCUGGUUUAGACAAUUAUUUCUACCAAUUUCUUCUAAUUGUUCGCACUCUAAACGAGAUCGAUUGAGAAAAGCAAAUCGUUUAAAUAGCGACAACAUUCUGGUUUAGACAAUUCUUUAAUGAAGAUAAGAUAGAAUUAUUAAUGCGUUGAUGAAGUGAAUUCAGUUCACCUAAAUUAGGAGUAGAACCUUCUAAAUUUUCGAUGAUGGCUUUCGCAAUUCGAAACUCAUCGAAAGGGUCCGAAACACAAACCCAGAUCCUAACAUUAAAAUUGUUGAUUACAUCUGCAUCGUUGUAAGCCAAUUGAGCAAGAGUUGUCUUUCCGAUACCACCCAUCCCUACGAGAGAGAUGAGUUGGAUGGCAUUUGGUUGUUCAGCAGUUUCACUUAACAACUUGCCCUUCAGAGCAUUUUUCUCCUCAUUUCGACCACACACUUCAGACACAUUAAUUAAGGCAGUACUUUGCGUCCUCUCAGAUUUAUCCUCCUUACUUCUAGUGACACUCAAAUUAAAAGUAUCUUUCUGGCUAGCAAUAUCAUCUAAAGUUUCAUUCAUUUCUUUUAUCUUUUUAGCAAUAUCACAACACAGAAAGAGUUGUUUGAAACCAAAGCAAGAGGCAGCAGGAAAGAAAGAGAUGCAUACCUUCUGCAGGAAAGAAAGAGCAUUAUCAGCAUCAACUCCCUCGAUUUGCAGUUUGAGCCUGGCAGUAUUCCACUCAUCCAAUACAUCUUCAGUGUCGUAGGAUGCGUGUUUGAGCUUGUCUAAAGAAAUUUCAGAAAUAUGUUUUCACUACAACUGUUAGAUGCAUGAAUAAAACAGAGGACGAUACAACAUCAGAUUUGACCACUGAUUGAAUUGCUGUUCAUAUGACUGCAGUUAAAAAAAAAAAAAAACAUCGAUGAAUACCAAAACACAAGUCACUGUCGUUAAUAUUUCUCUUAUUAACGCAGGUGAGAUUACCUUGAUGAAUGGAGGCGGUUGGUGUGUUCACUGGGCUCAAAGUACAUGACUGCUGGAGAUGAUGCUGCUUUUGGAAUGAUAGGUUGGGCUGAGAGUUUCAUGCAAUCAUUGUUUCCCAGGUGGUUGUAGCUAACAGAUAAUUUGGCACCCACCAGCCAAUCAAUUUCAUCACAAUCAGAAACCAUCUUUUUCCAUAAAGUGCUUAUAACGAUCAAAACUAUAUAUAUACCUGAUUCCAGCCCUUACA
rnacentral:lncRNA from 1 species